rnacentral:ncRNA from 1 species
CCGGGGAACGCAGACUCCCGGCAUUCCCAAGACGGUGAUCCGUCCAAGUUCUGC